CACUUUACAACACAAAAUGAGAAAGAAAAAAAAAGAGAGAGAAAAAAAAUAUUUUUUAUUUUUUCAAGAAACCCUAUUUAGGGUUAAUGAGGGGUACUUUUUUUUUUUUGUUUGUGUACAAAAUGACUCUUUUUGUACUUUUCCACAGCUUUCUUGAACUGCAUAAAUCAAAAUUUUAAUUCUUUUUUUUUUUUGGUUAAGAUGAAGAGAAUUAAUUAAAAUUUUUGGGGUUCAAUAAAGCUGUGGGAAGAUACAUAUAGAGUCAACAGCAUAUAUAUUUUUAUUCUUUUUAUUAUUCAAAAAUUAUAAUUAGCAGAUUUGAUUAUUAUUAUUAUUAUUAUUAUUACUUCAUGGUGAAUUGAUGAUCUUGUUGAAGAUGUUUCUGAAGGACUUUUCAUCGAAAAUUGAAUAUAUUUUAUGGUGAUAUAAAUAGGGUACGAUACUUUACAAUCAAUGUAAAGUUGCCUCCAUGUGAGUUUAGGUCGUGAAAACAGUCUCUUGUUAAAUGCAGGGUACGAUACGUACAGUCAAUGUAAAGUUGCGUUCAUGUGAUCAGAUCGUGAAAAUAGUCUCUUGUUAAAUGCAGGGUAUGGUACGUACAGUCAAUGUAAAGUUGCCUUCAUGUGAGUUCAGGUCGUGAAAACAGUCUCUUGUUAAAUGCAGGGUACGGUACGUACAGUAGACUCUUGUAGUCUAGCUCUUUCGUUAACCCUAAAUAUAGCGAAAAUUUUAGUGCAUUGAACUGUCCAACAUGUGGUAUUUGUUCCACUGAGGCCUAGUAUUGUACAUCAAUCCUCAAAUAGGUACAUAUUAAACUUUCAUACUAAUUUAUAUGAUCUAUAUUUUUGUA